UACGGAGGGUGCGAGCGUUGUUCGGAAUCACUGGGCGUAAAGCGCGUGUAGGCGGCCCAUUAAGUCUGAUGUGAAAGCCCGGGGCUCACCCCCGGAAGUGCAUUGGAAACUGAUGGACUCGAGUCCCGGAGAGGAGAGUGGAAUUCCGUGGUGUAGCGGUGAAAUGCGUAGAUAUCAGGAGGAACACCGGUGGCGAAGGCGGCUCUCUGGACGGUGACUGACGCUGAGACGGCGAAAGCGUGGGGAGCAAACAGG
rnacentral:rRNA from 1 species